UACAGAGGGUGCGAGCGUUAAUCGGAAUUACUGGGCGUAAAGGGUGCGCAGGCGGUCUCGUAAGCUGGGUGUGAAAGCCCCGGGCUUAACCUGGGAAUGGCAUUCAGGACUGCGAGGCUUUGAGUGUGGCAGAGGGAGGUGGAAUUCCACGUGUAGCAGUGAAAUGCGUAGAGAUGUGGAGGAACACCGAUGGCGAAGGCAGCCUCCUGGGCCAGCACUGACGCUCAUGCACGAAAGCGUGGGGAGCAAACAGG
rnacentral:rRNA from 1 species